rnacentral:rRNA from 1 species
GGAACGAGUUAUCUGAACCUUCGGGGAACGAUAACGGCGUCGAGCGGCGGACGGGUGAGUAAUGCCUAGGAAAUUGCCCUGAUGUGGGGGAUAACCAUUGGAAACGAUGGCUAAUACCGCAUAAUGCCUACGGGCCAAAGAGGGGGACCUUCGGGCCUCUCGCGUCAGGAUAUGCCUAGGUGGGAUUAGCUAGUUGGUGAGGUAAUGGCUCACCAAGGCGACGAUCCCUAGCUGGUCUGAGAGGAUGAUCAGCCACACUGGAACUGAGACACGGUCCAGACUCCUACGGGAGGCAGCAGUGGGGAAUAUUGCACAAUGGGCGCAAGCCUGAUGCAGCCAUGCCGCGUGUGUGAAGAAGGCCUUCGGGUUGUAAAGCACUUUCAGUCGUGAGGAAGGUGGUGUAGUUAAUAGCUGCAUU